AGUGAACGCUGGCGGUAGGCCUAACACAUGCAAGUCGAACGGCCGCACAGUAAGAGCUUUCCUUUGAUGGUGGCGAGUGACGGACGGGUGACGAAUACAUAGGAAUCCACUUUUUCGUGGGGGAUUUCGUAGGGACACUUCCGAUAAUACCGGAUAUGAUCUACGGCAGAAUGCAAGAGAUCAACGCGCCUUGCGCGUUUGAAUGAGACGGAGUCGGAUUAGCUAGUUGGCGAGGUAAAGGCACACCAAGGCAACGAUCCGUAGCUGGUCUGAGAGGAUGAUCAGCCACACUGGAACUGAGACACGGUCCAGACUCCUACGGGAGGCAGCAGUAGGGAAUAUUCCACAAUGGGCGCAAGCCUGAUCCAGCAAUGCCGCGUGAGUGAUGAAGGUCUUCGGAUUGUAAAACUCUGUUAUUGGGGAAGAAAAUCUGCGUGUUUAACUGUCGCUAUCCUGACGGUACCCAAACAGAAAGCACCGGCUAACUUCGUG
rnacentral:rRNA from 1 species